AUAGCACCUUCUUUGACCCAGCUGGAGGGGGAGACCCUAUCCUGUACCAACACCUAUUUUGAUUCUUUGGUCACCCCGAAGUCUAUAUCCUAAUCCUACCAGGCUUCAGAAUAAUUUCCCACAUCGUAACAUAUUACUCUGGAAAAAAAGAACCGUUCGGAUACAUGGGCAUAGUCUGAGCCAUGAUGUCAAUUGGUGUUAAGAGUUGUGAGGGUAGUUAUGAU
rnacentral:lncRNA from 1 species